AACUCCAACGCGCUAAAUCCAGCUCCUUCACUUGUCCGGGGGCCACUUAGCUCGGCGGUGACUUUGUGCUGCGCGCGGUACGAAGCCCUUUACGUCCGUCAUCCCGUAUAAUUCUUUCAGCAAAACCGAGGUGGGCGGUACGGCCUUGAUUUGCAAAGGAACUUGCCCCAGGCCUUGGGGCCCACGCGCCCUGGGACCGCUGCAGGCCGGGGCAGAAGUGCGAGGCUGCGGCCUGUUCUCAGCCUCCACAUUUCCCCUCCGCAUCCCCCUCCAGGAAGCACCGCCGAGCAGCCAGGAGUCUUUCUUGGCUCCUGACCCAAGUACCUGUCCUUCCCCUGGUCUCACUUUUAAGGGAGGUUCCGCCUUCCCUGACCCGUUCACAUAGAUCUGAACAUGCACCACGGUAUGAAGAGAUGCACCUCCUCCGAGGGAGGGGGCUGUGUGACGCUGGCCCAGUGCAUAGAACAUUGCCCAUGAAAAGAUGAGCUCUGGGGGUUGUUGCGCCAGGAGGCAGCUGCUUAAAACCACAGUCCUAACAGCAAAGGAAACGUUAACAGGUGGUCAAGAUUUCCCACUCUGGACCCAGGCAGGCUAAAAGGAUUCUUCAAGUUUAUGGGAGAAUUUGAUUCCUGACCCACAAGGUGGAG